rnacentral:rRNA from 1 species
UCGAGCGAGUCUGCCUUGAAAUCGGAGUGCUUGCACUCUGUGAAACAAGAUACAGGCUAGCGGCGGACGGGUGAGUAACACGUGGGUAACCUGCCCAAGAGAUCGGGAUAACACCUGGAAACAGAUGCUAAUACCGGAUAACAACAGAUGAUGCCUAUCAACUGUUUAAAAGAUGGUUCUGCUAUCACUCUUGGAUGGACCUGCGGUGCAUUAGCUAGUUGGUAGGGUAACGGCCUACCAAGGCGAUGAUGCAUAGCCGAGUUGAGAGACUGAUCGGCCACAUUGGGACUGAGACACGGCCCAAACUCCUACGGGAGGCAGCAGUAGGGAAUCUUCCACAAUGGACGCAAGUCUGAUGGAGCAACGCCGCGUGAGUGAAGAAGGGCUUCGGCUCGUAAAGCUCUGUUGUUGGUGAAGAAGGACAGGGGUAGUAACUGACCUUUGUUUGACGGUAAUCAAUUAGAAAGUCACGGCUAACUACGUGCCAGCAGCCGCGGUAAUACGUAGGUGGCAAGCGUUGUCCGGAUUUAUUGGGCGUAAAGCGAGUGCAGGCGGCUCGAUAAGUCUGAUGUGAAAGCCUUCGGCUCAACCGGAGAAUUGCAUCAGAAACUGUCGAGCUUGA